rnacentral:rRNA from 1 species
AUUGAACGCUGGCGGCAUGCUUUACACAUGCAAGUCGAACGGUAACAGGCCGCAAGGUGCUGACGAGUGGCGAACGGGUGAGUAAUGCAUCGGAACGUGCCCAGUCGUGGGGGAUAACUACUCGAAAGAGUAGCUAAUACCGCAUACGGUCUAUGGAUGAAAGCGGGGGACCGUAAGGCCUCGCGCGAUUGGAGCGGCCGAUGUCAGAUUAGGUAGUUGGUGGGGUAAAGGCUCACCAAGCCAACGAUCUGUAGCUGGUCUGAGAGGACGACCAGCCACACUGGGACUGGGACACGGCCCAGACUCCUACGGGAGGCAGCAGUGGGGAAUUUUGGACAAUGGGCGCAAGCCUGAUCCAGCAAUGCCGCGUGCAGGAAGAAGGCCUUCGGGUUGUAAACUGCUUUUGUACGGAACGAAACGGCUCUGGUUAAUACCCGGGGCUAAUGACGGUACCGUAAGAAUAAGCACCGGCUAACUACGUG